AACGAACGCUGGCGGCAUGCCUAACACAUGCCAGUCGAACGAGACCUUCGGGUCUAGUGGCGCACGGGUGCGUAACGCGUGGGAACCUGCCUUUAGGUUCGGAAUAACUCAGAGAAAUUUGAGCUAAUACCGGAUGAUGUCUUCGGACCAAAGAUUUAUCGCCUUUAGAUGGGCCCGCGUUGGAUUAGCUAGUUGGUGGGGUAAAGGCCUACCAAGGCGACGAUCCAUAGCUGGUCUGAGAGGAUGAUCAGCCACACUGGGACUGAGACACGGCCCAGACUCCUACGGGAGGCAGCAGUGGGGAAUAUUGGACAAUGGGCGAAAGUCUGAUCCAGCAAUGCCGCGUGAGUGAUGAAGGCCUUAGGGUUGUAAAGCCCUUUUACCCGAGAUGAUAAUGACAGUAGCGGGAGAAUAAGCUCCGGCUAACUCCGUG
rnacentral:rRNA from 1 species